rnacentral:rRNA from 1 species
AUGAGUGUUUUAAGCUGGAACUGCCGGGGGCUUGGGAACCCCGAGGAAGUUCGGGAGCUUCACAGUAUCGUGAAGCUUGAAGGCCCCUCGCUUCUCUUUGUAAUGGAAACAAAAAUCAAGGCAAAAAGAGUUGAGGAUCUGAAGUAUACGCUUGGUUUUGCAGGUAGUUUUGCGGUUGACAUUGUCAGCCUUAGUGGCGGCAUAGGUCUUUUUUGGUCCAAAGAUGUGACCGUUGAUUUG